CGGUGGGGGCGCGACGGCGUGCUGCUCGAUGGGCUAACUCGGCGGCAGUAUCAUUGACCACGGCGGCAAGGUGAGCGAGGCGGGGCCUCGGUGUUGGGAAGCACGGCGUGUGGUGGUCGGCUGGCCAUGGCGGCGGUUAAAUUGGUGGUCGCGGCCGCACUUGUUAGAUCGUGCGUGCUCUCCUCCAGCCAUGGCUGCUUGCCCCCGUACGCGCUGGUGAGCUCAAUCCAAAUCCCUUCAACAUCUGUGUCUAUGUCCGUUUGUCGCCCCGACUGUACUUCCUUUGUCCAAGCUCCUAAUUUCAUAUGCUGCUCUAUUUGAACUCUAGAAGCCACAUUGUAAGUUUUGACAGGAAUACCAUGCAAAAAUAUACUGGCGAUGUAAUUGUUGUUGGGUUUUCUCUUCUCUUUUCGAAAGCUCAUCUUGUGGGAAUUGGUUCCCUCUGACGGUCUGACUUGAUUCUACAAACUGUGCACUGUUUUGGUCAUAGUCUGUUGCAUUUUACACUUUGAUUCGAAUAUGAAAUGCACUAUGUUGAACACUAAGUAACUCCUAUCACUCGUCAUGUUAGAUACACACAGUUCUGUUUUGGACAAGUUGCUUAGAGUAGACAAUUUUUUUGAUUAAUUUCUCUGGCCUAAUACCAAUGUGAUGUGCAGAUAACUUAUAUCUCCGGCCAAGAGCUCGCCUUGAUGUCCUCACGGACUGGAGAUUCAUGACUAAGAGCUCUCCUCAAUGUAUGCAGGUACUGCCCAGACCGUAAAGAAGCUAAUUGAUGUUAAUAUACAGUUAUAUCUUUCUGAAUUUAUUUUGAGGGCAAAUGCUCGAGUCGCCGAGUAAAUGUCCAACUCGGUCUGUUUUCAGUGCACAUAUAUCAUUUCCUCAAUUUGAUGGAAAUUAGCGGCCACUUCAAUUUUCUUGUCUGCAUUUUCUUUGCAAUCAGCAAGGAAACCUAGGACAGAUGUACAUUUCCUCAUGUGAAUUCUAGUCCCUAGAUUGUUUGUGGCUUUGGGCAAUAUAAAGAAUUGGAGAAGUUUGCUAUAUAGGUUUGGAUAGAAUAUCAUAGCUGUAUCUACAACUGCUUAAUCUUUAAUUUGUAGUUGAAAUUCUGCACACAUCUCUCUGUAUUUGUUCACCUUAUCCGCUAUCAUGCACCAUAACUUUAUAAAUGAAAAUAUCCUAGUAAAGUUUCGACAGCACUAACUUUCCAAAAAUAUACAGUUUCUGUAUAUCAAGGUUGUCUUCCAGUGAUUCGCUCCUUGUUCAAGUGCUGGCAUACAUAAACUUAAACCACAAAAAAAUGUGUACACAUGUGUAUAGCUCUAAACAUAAAAAGCCUUUAGAAUCAUGCGUAGCUUUACAAAAUGCCGGACUGGAUUCUGAAUAUGCUAGAUAAUACCAUCUUCCACACAUGGUAAUAUGUUGUACCGCACCACUGUAUACACAAGUGUGUAAUUUUUUGGGUGGCUUCCUCCACCAAAACAAAAGGCUUGUGCACGACUGAUGCUAUCCAACUAGACUGUGUAAUAAUCACUGCUGAUUUUGCAUGACAGUGGGUUGUCACAGAUUUGCAACAGAGCUGAGCAGUCGUGUAGCGUCGCUGGUUCGUGUUCAUUAGUGUCAGGUUAUGGUAGCCGUUGGCAUGUUUCUUGGUGCGGUAUGCAUCUCCUCCCACCACGGCGGUCGACAACCAAGUCUAGCCGCCAUAACUCUUUAGUAUCACCCCCUCUCUCCGAUUUACAUGAGUGUGUGUCAAUUUAUUCUCCCAUGGCAAGUCUCUGUCCAUGUUAGGUUACAUUAGUAAGAAAUUUAGUUAUCUGAAUUUAGGUAGGUAAUUUAUAUUUAGUAUCUCCAUGAACUCACUCACGAUAUAGAUAAUAUUUUGGAUUGAAGUAAUGAUGUAAACUGCAACUAUACAAACCAAUACAUGUAGUUCAGGUCGAAAUUCGAAGGUGGUGUUACACCUUGGCUAAAUUUUUGUGUAUGCUGCUAACUUUAGGAUUGUUUUACACUAUUCUUUGUUGUAAACAAACCAGGUAAUGUCGUGAAAUCCAAGAGUUUUUCAGAUUUCUAUUUACGGCAUGAUUUACCUCCAAUUCUUUGCAUGCGCGGUUUUCAUUUUGAUGACUCUCAGCUGCCAGACAAAAUAGAGAAUGUUGCUGUAAAAUGCAUGACAACCAUAUACUCCCUCUAUUCCCAAAUAUUUGUCUUUCUAGACAUUUUAAAUGGACUACAACAUACGGAUGUAUGUAGACAUAUUUUAGAAUGUAGAUUCGCUCAUUUUGCUUCGUAUGUAAUCACUUGUUAAAAUCUAUAAAAAAGACAAAUAUUUGGUAACGGGGGGAGUAAAUAGUGACUGCAUGUUGUUUUAAUCAAUCCAUUUUUCUAUUGUAGCAACACUUUAUUGUUAUCCUAGUUGUGCGAUAAUUUACCGUUUCUAUGAAUCAAUUUCAGGUGCUCCUUUUUAUCAUGAUUACAUCAUGUGGUAGCCUGCUUUUUAAGGUAUUUAAGUUUUGAUGCUAUGUACUCCCUCCGUGUCCAAAAAUAAAUCUUUUUAGAGAUUCCAAUAUAGAUUACAUAUGGAACAAAAUGAGUCACUCUAAAAUAUGUCUAUACAAAUCCGUAUGUAGUUCAUAGGGAAAUCUCUAAAAAGACUUAUAUUUAGAAACGGAGGGAGUAAUUCAUAUGCAUUGGAUGGUGUGUGAACAACUUUUAAUCUUGAUCUCUUUUAUUUCAUGCUUAUCCAAUUGUAGCUCGCACAGUUUGAUACACGGCAUGGUUUAGGUUGCAUUGAAACGGUAGUUACAGAGCUCGGCCUCUUUGUCUUGUUUCUCUGUUUACUAUUGAUUCAUACAUGUAGCCAGCGUGUUCAUGUGAUUUCUUGUACGUCCAAACUUCGCUUGCUAUAUAUUUGAUAUUGAUUCUUUUUCAGCUUAAGGUAGUAAAGCCCCAGUCUACCUUCAAGUGUGAUUCAUAUGUUCUUGUUUGUUCGUGGUCUCUACCUGUUUGUUCUUCUGAGAACUAAACAUAUUAUGUUUCUUCAGGUCUCUAUUCAAGUGGAUGACGGGAAAUGUAUGAGGGAUAGAGAGGAAUAAGUUUUCUGGAACACGUCUUUGUAGUGUAUGGUGGGUACAAGUAAUGUUAGAUUCAAAAUUUAGAGCUUUUGCCAAUAAUAAGUAGCAAAAUUCAGGAUUGCUGAGAAGGGAGGUGAACCUAAUGGCUUCAGUACUAUUGUUACGAUACUAUGUUGCUUCCAGGCUAUCGAUGAGAAUAGUUCAGUCGCUUUAGAGAUUGUUGAACAUAUGAAAUUGAUUGUAAUCUCUGGGCACCCUCAAGUUAAGCUGCUUGAAGACCAAGUUCAAAUAUGUGUGAGGGCAGUGUGGUUGGGCAUGCGAGUCAAUUGCACCUGAUGUAAUCAGACCAUUAGAUCUGUUUUGAAAUAGUGAUC
rnacentral:lncRNA from 1 species